rnacentral:rRNA from 1 species
AAUAAAUACAAAUAAAAUUUAUUAUUUAAAGUUAAAAUGUUGUUAUUAAUUUAUAAUUAAAUUUAUUAGGUUAAAUUUUAAAUUUAAAAAAUAAUUAAUAUAAAGAUUAUUUUAAGCUUAAAAAUUUUUGUAGUAAACUAGGAUUAGAUACCCUAUUAUAAAAAAUGUAAAUAUAAAAAAUAGAGUAGUAGUAGUUAUUUUCUUAAAACUUAAUAAAUUUGGCGGUAUUUUAAUCUAUUCAGAGGAACUUGUUUUAUAAUUGAUAAUCCUCGUUAUAUCUUACUUAAUUUAUUUAAUUUGUAUACCAUCGUCAUAAGAAUCUCUUAAAAAAGUAAAAAUUUUCUAAAAAAUUUAUUAAUUAAUAUGUCAGAUCAAGGUGCAGUUUAUAAUUAAGAAAAAAUGAGUUACAAUAAAUAUAUUUAUACGGAUAUUAAUUUUAAAUAAUUAAUUGAAGGUGGAUUUGAUAGUAAAAUAAAUUAGUGAUUUUAUUUGAUUUUAGUUCUAAAAUAUGCACAUAUCGCCCGUCGCUCUCGUUAAUUAAAAUGAG